UACGGAGGAUCCAAGCGUUAUCCGGAUUUAUUGGGUUUAAAGGGUGCGUAGGUGGCCUGUUAAGUCAGGGGUGAAAGACGGUAGCUUAACUAUCGCAGUGCCCUUGAUACUGAUGGGCUUGAAUGAACUAGAGGUAGGCGGAAUGUGACAAGUAGCGGUGAAAUGCAUAGAUAUGUCACAGAACGCCAAUUGCGAAGGCAGCUUACUAUGGUUUUAUUGACACUGAGGAGCGAAAGCGUGGGGAGCGAACAGG
rnacentral:rRNA from 1 species